CAGGGAUUGCCCUAGUAACGGCGAGUGAAGCGGCAACAGCUCAAAUUUGAAAUCUGGCCCUUGGGUCCGAAUUGUAAUUUGUAGAGGAUGUUUUUGGUGCGGUAUCUUCCGAGUUCCUUGGAACAGGACGCCUUAGAGGGUGAGAGCCCCGUACGGUUGAAUGCCUAGCCUUUGUAAAACUCCUUCGACGAGUCGAGUAGUUUGGGAAUGCUGCUCUAAAUGGGAGGUAAAUUUCUUCUAAAGCUAAAUACCGGCCAGAGACCGAUAGCGCACAAGUAGAGUGAUCGAAAGAUGAAAAGCACUUUGAAAAGAGGGUUAAAUAGCACGUGAAAUUGUUGAAAGGGAAGGAUUUAUGACCAGACUUUUCCUAGGCGAAUCAUCCGGUGUUCUCACCGGUGCACUUCGUUUAGUUUAGGCCAGCAUCGAUUUUCGGGGCGGGAUAAAAGCUUUAGGAAUGUGGCUCCCUCGGGAGUGUUAUAGCCUAUUGUAUAAUACCGCCCUGGGGAUCGAGGUACGCGCUUCUGCAAGGAUGCUGGCGUAAUGGUUAUCAAUCACCCGUCUUGAAACACGGACCAAGGAGUCGAACAUUUGUGCAAGUGUUUGGGUGUUAAACCCUCACGCGUAAUGAAAGUGAACGGAGGUGAGAGCCCUUUACGGGGUGCAUCAUCGACCGAUCCUGAUGUCUUCGGAUGGAUUUGAGUAAGAGCAUAAAUGUUCGGACCCGAAAGAUGGUGAACUAUGCGUGGAUAGGGUGAAGCCAGAGGAAACUCUGGUGGAGGCUCGCAGCGGUUCUGACGUGCAAAUCGAUCGUCAAAUCUGCGCAUGGGG
rnacentral:rRNA from 1 species